GAUGAACGCUAGCUACAGGCUUAACACAUGCAAGUCGCGGGGCAGCAUGGGGGUUGCUUGCAAUCCCCGAUGGCGACCGGCGCACGGGUGAGUAACGCGUAUCCAACCUGCCCUUCACCACGGGCUAACCCGGCGAAAGUCGGACUAAUACCGUAUGUUGUCCAUUGACGGCAUCCGAUUUGGACGAAAGGUUUGGCGGUGAAGGAUGGGGAUGCGUCCGAUUGGCUGGACGGCGGGGUGACGGCCCACCGUGGCGGCGAUCGGUAGGGGUUCUGAGAGGAAGGUCCCCCACACUGGAACUGAGACACGGUCUCGACUGCUACGGGAGGCAGCAGUGAGGAAUAUUGGUCGAUGGGCGUAAGCCUGAACCAGCCAAGUAGCGUGCAGGAGGACGGCCCUAUGGGUUGUAAACUGCUUUUAUGCGGGGAUAAAGUGGCCCACGUGUGGGUUUUUGCAGGUACCGCAUGAAUAAGGACCGGCUAAUUCCGUG
rnacentral:rRNA from 1 species